rnacentral:rRNA from 1 species
CCUACGGGGGGCUGCAGUGAGGAAUAUUGGUCAAUGGACGAGAGUCUGAACCAGCCAAGUAGCGUGAAGGAUGACUGCCCUAUGGGUUGUAAACUUCUUUUAUAAAGGAAUAAAACGAGGCACGUGUGCCUUUUUGCAUGUACUUUAUGAAUAAGGAUCGGCUAACUCCGUGCCAGCAGCCGCGGUAAUACGGAGGAUCCGAGCGUUAUCCGGAUUUAUUGGGUUUAAAGGGAGCGUAGAUGGGUUGUUAAGUCAGUUGUGAAAGUUUGCGGCUCAACCGUAAAAGUGCAAUUGAUACUGGUAGUCUUGAGUACAGUUGAGGUAGGCGGAAUUCGUGGUGUAGCGGUGAAAUGCUUAGAUAUCACGAAGAACCCCGAUUGCGAAGGCAGCUUACUAAACUGUGACUGACAUUGAUGCUCGAAAGUGUGGGUAUCAAACAGGAUUAGAUACCCGGGUAGUC